rnacentral:other from 2 species
GUGACCCUGCCCUGCUCGUGUACAGGCGGAACAAGCAUUUUGAGCCAACACUCACUUUAAGGGGCCGAAUGCCACUGCGCGGCAAGGUGGAUCUCCCACGGAGAACCCGAAAGCCGCACACGCCCGGCCCACCUGUUUAGGCAGGUUCAAAAAGUGACCGCUCCACGGCAGAGGCGGGGGAACC